GUAAACCCCUUUUCUUGGGGACGAAGCAGUGACGGUACCCGAGGAAGAAGGCCCGGCUAACUACGUGCCAGCAGCCGCGGUAAUACGUAGGGGCCGAGCGUUGUCCGGAGUUACUGGGCGUAAAGCGCGCGCAGGCGGCUCGUCAAGCCUGACGUGAAAGCCCCCGGCUCAACCGGGGAGGGUCGUCGGGGACUGGCGAGCUUGAGGUCGGCAGGGGCUGGUGGAAUUCCCGGUGUAGUGGUGAAAUGCGUAGAGAUCGGGAGGAACACCCGUGGCGAAGGCGGCCAGCUGGGCCGGACCUGACGCUGAGGCGCGAAGGCGUGGGGAGCGAACGGGAUUAGAUACCCCGGUAGUCCACGCAGUAAACGAUGCAGACUAGGCGUGGGGGGACUUGACCCCCUCCGUGCCGGAGCCAACGCGUGAAGUCUGCCGCCUGGGGAGUACGGCCGCAAGGCUAAAACUCAAAUGAAUUGACGGAA
rnacentral:rRNA from 1 species